rnacentral:lncRNA from 1 species
UGCUUGCACUGUGAGCUCUGACCUCAGCUGUCACUGAAGAAGUUGCUUGAUUUCCAGAUACAAUGAAAAUGUUUUACCUGUAGCUGAAGCAACGACAAAAUACUUUUUUUUUUUUUUUUUCUCCUCUCCAGGAUUUAAAAUCAAUAAGAUAUACCAAACUUGAGACUUCAAGCCUUCUCUGUUUUUUUAAAAAUAAAAGGAAAUUUCAGCUAGAAAAAGUUUACCUGCCAUAAGUAGAGGCCAAUAAAUCUUAAAUCCUUUCAGCAAUUCGAAGUAUACUAGACAACAGCCUGGGACUCUUACACCUAUUUCUGAUCUCAACUCAUAGUCUCACAGAUACAGAAGCUUGCUAUCCCCGGUUUCUCAAGACAGCAAACAUCACAGAUCAAAUGAGGCCUUCUUUUCCAGUUCAAGGCUGCACAUCUAUUCAUAACCACGUUGGAGGAAUUUAGGUUCAAAUGUUGGCUUAACCUGGCAGCUCACUUACUGUGUGGUGACCAUGCUGAACUGCCUUUUGGGAAUGAAACUCAGCCUCGAUUUUGUGGGAAAUUACAUUAUUUGAUGCAACUGGAAACUGACAGAGCCUAA